UCCGGCAGGUAGUUUUCUAGCCAGCAGCUAGCUCUAUGAAACUCUCACAUGGUCACCCACUGAAGCUAAGCAGGGCUGAGCCCGGUCAGUACCUGGAUAGGAGACCACAUGUUAGAGCUAAGUUGCUGCCAGAA
ensembl:rRNA 5S_rRNA 5S ribosomal RNA